rnacentral:rRNA from 1 species
CGUGGCUAACCUGCCCUUGGGACGGGACCACCCCCCGGGAAACUGGGGCUAAUCCCCGAUAGGUGAAAAACUCUGGAAUGAGUUUUCGCCCAAAAGCCAUUUAGAUCAUGCUUCUGGGUGGCGCCCAAGGAUGGGGCCGCGACCGAUCAGGUUGUUGGUGAGGUAAUGGCUCACCAAGCCUAUAACCGGUGCGGGCCGUGAGAGCGGGAGCCCGGAGAUGGGCACUGAGACAAGGGCCCAGGUCCUACGGGGCGCAGCAGUCGCGGAAACUUUGCAAUACACGAAAGUGUGACAGGGUCAUCCCGAGUGCCGACCGCUGAGGUUGGCUUUUACCCAGUCUAGAAAGCUGGGGGAAUAAGGAGAGGGCAAGUCUGGUGUCAGCCGCCGCGGUAAUACCAGCUCUCCGAGUGGUGUGGACGUUUAUUGGGCCUAAAGCAUCCGUAGCUGGCUGAACAAGUCCCCUGUUAAACCCACCGAUUUAAUCGUUGGCUUGCGGGGGAUACUGCUCGGCUAGGGGACGAGAGAGGCAGACGGUAUUCCCGGGGUAGGGGUGAAAUCCUAUAAUCCCGAGAAGACCACCAGUGGCGAAGGCUGUCUGCUAGAACGCGCCCGACGGUGAGGGAUGAAAGCUGGGGGAGCGAACCGGAUUAGAUACCCGGGUAGUCCCAGCUGU